rnacentral:rRNA from 1 species
AACGAACGCUGGCGGCAUGCCUAACACAUGCAAGUCGAACGGGAUCUUCGGGUCUAGUGGCGCACGGGUGCGUAACGCGUGGGAAUCUGCCCUUUGGUUCGGAAUAACAGUUGGCAACGACUGCUAAUACCGGAUGAUGACGAAAGUCCAAAGAUUUAUCGCCAGAGGAUGAGCCCGCGUAGGAUUAGCUAGUUGGUGUGGUAAAGGCGCACCAAGGCGACGAUCCUUAGCUGGUCUGAGAGGAUGAUCAGCCACACUGGGACUGAGACACGGCCCAGACUCCUACGGGAGGCAGCAGUGGGGAAUAUUGGACAAUGGGCGAAAGCCUGUUCCAGCAAUGCCGCGUGAGUGAUGAAGGCCUUAGGGUUGUAAAGCUCUUUUACCCGGGAUGAUAGUGACAGUACCGGGAGAAUAAGCUCCGGCUAACUCCGUGCCAGCAGCCGCGGUAA